CCAGACUCCUACGGGAGGCAGCAGUGAGGAAUAUUGGUCAAUGGGCGCGAGCCUGAACCAGCCAAGUCGCGUGAGGGAAGACGGUCCUAUGGAUUGUAAACCUCUUUUGUCGGGGAGCAAAAGACGCCACGCGUGGCGUUCCGAGAGUACCCGAAGAAAAAGCAUCGGCUAACUCCGUGCCAGCAGCCGCGGUAAUACGGAGGAUGCGAGCGUUAUCCGGAUUUAUUGGGUUUAAAGGGUGCGUAGGCGGUUUUGUCAGUCGGGAGGAAAAAGCCGGGGGCCCACCCCGGUCCCGCCGUUGAAACUGGCGAACUCGAGAGGGAGAGAAGUAGGCGGAAUGCGCAGUGUAGCGGUGAAAUGCAUAGAUAUUGCGCAGAACUCCGAUUGCGAAGGCAGCCUACCGGCUCCUGUCUGACGCUGAGGCACGAAAGCGUGGGUAUCGAACAGGAUUAGAUACCCUCGUAC
rnacentral:rRNA from 1 species